GAUAAACGCUGGCGGCGUGCUUAACACAUGCAAGUCGAACGAAGUUUUUCCUUCGGGAGUAACUUAGUGGCGGACGGGUGAGUAACGCGUGGGUAACCUGCCCUGUACAGGGGGACAACAGCUGGAAACGGCUGCUAAUACCGCAUAAGCCCUUAGCACUGAAUGGUGCAUAGGGAAAAGGAGCAAUCCGUUACAGGAUGGACCCGCGUCUGAUUAGCCAGUUGGAAGGGUAACGGCCUACCAAAGCGACGAUCAGUAGCCGAUCUGAGAGGAUGUACGGCCACAUUGGGACUGAGACACGGCCCAGACUCCUACGGGAGGCAGCAGUGGGGAAUAUUGCACAAUGGAGGAAACUCUGAUGCAGCGACGCCGCGUGAGUGAAGAAGUAUUUCGGUAUGUAAAGCUCUAUCAGCAGGGAAGAAAAUGACGGUACCUGACGAAGAAGCACCGGCUAAAUACGUG
rnacentral:rRNA from 1 species